GUCGAGGCAGGGCUUUCCCACCGAUUACUUUCAUCGUGGUCAUUCUGGAAGCUCCUCAGCUCAUCAGGAUGACCCUCGAUGGUUUGCCAUUAACUCUCCAGUUUCCAGCACUCAGACAUCAUAUCUGCACUGCAACUGCAGAAACAUGGACGCAUAAGCCAGCUGUGUUCUGCUGCCCUCUGCUGAACUCAGCUUCACUGUGCUCUUGCUUGAAGUUUGGAAGAAAAAUAGACAAGAUGUGAGGAAACAAAACCAAAACUCAGUCAGUAUAGAUGUUCGAAAAUAAAACCAAAACUCAAUCAGUCAGUACAAACAGCU